UGUAAAGAUUGUUUCUGCAUCGACUACAUUCACUACAAUUUCUGGUUUCGCUACUGUUUCUAAUCCUAAAAUGAUUUAACUUUCUUUUAAUCCUAUCGAUGUUAAUUAUUUGGAGUUAAAAUCGUAGAAGGAUUAAGUUUUAGUUUCUAUGGCUCCGUUUGGGAAACAUUUAAUUUUAAGUCAUUUUUCCUAGCUACUGUUUUGAGAGAUCCAUUCUCCAUCAACUCGAAGGGCAACAGAAGAGAGUAGACUCGUUGAUUGCAACACUGCAAAGGUCAAUCUCCAGCAACCAUAUCCACUGGACUGAUGGCGGCCCUUGUGAACACCAUAUGUUUGUUGAUUUGUCUGCAUUGCCUUGUUAAUGUUUCAGUGCCAAUAACGGUAUCUCUGGUCCACCAUUUUUUAACCGUACGCAGGAAUCUAUCACUUGAAAAUAAAGCCUUAAUAAUAAGGACGCAAUAAAUUAAACAUUUAUUCCCAUUUGUUACCA